rnacentral:rRNA from 1 species
AGCGAACGCUGUCGGCAGGCCUAACACAUGCAAGUCUAACGAACUCUUCGGAGUUAGUGGCUUACGUGUGAGUAACACGUGGGAACGUGCCUUUUGGUUCUGCAUAACUCAGGGAAACUUGUGCUAAUACCGAAUGUGCCCUUCGAGUGCAAGAUUAAUCGCCAUUAGAGCGGCCCGCGUCUGAUUAGCUAGUUGGUGAGGUAACGGCUCACCAAGGCGACGAUCAGUAGCUGGUCUGAGAGGAUGACCAGCGACACUGGGACUGAGACACGGCCAAGACUCCUAAGGGAGGCAGCAGUGGGGAAUAUUGCGCAAUGGGAGAAAGCCUGACGCAGCCAUGCCGAGUGAAUGAUGAAGGUCUUAGGAUUGUAAAAUUCUUUCACAGGGGACGAUAAUGACGGUACCCGGAGAAGAAGCCCCGGCUAACUUCGUG